UAAUAGUUAAGUUCUUUAAAGCUAAAUGAUUUGGGGGUGUUUUAAACUAUUCAGAGGAACCUGUUCUAUAAUCGAUAAUCCACGAUGGAAUUUACUUUAGUUAGAAACUUUUAUAUCAUCGUUAAAAAGUAUUUUAUAAGAAUUUAAUAUUUAAAAUUUUCAAUAAAUAAAUAAAUCAGAUCAAGGUGAAGUUUAUACUAAAGAAGAAAGGGGUUACAUUUAAAUUUUAUUAAUGAAUUUUAAAAUUGAAAAUUUUUAUGAAAUUGGAUUUGAAAGUAAUUAAUUAAAC
rnacentral:rRNA from 1 species